AUACUUGUCUGGCUUGUUUAACCCCUUAAGGACUUCUGGAAUAAACUUCUGGAAUAAAAGGGAAUCAUGACAUGUUACACAUGUCAUGUGUCCUUAAGGAGUUAAGCAAUCCAGCUUUUACUGCCUAUAUUGUCCAUGAUAAGCAGCCAUCAAGAACUAUACAGAUGUAUUCUCUAAACCAGCAAUUAUGGACAAAUGACUAAGAAAAAUGUGAGGCAAAUAAUGUCUGAAGUCCCCUGGCACCAUCCCUCCAUUAAACAUUAAACAAUUUUUUAAGUUUUCAUGCUAAACGAGAGCUCCCAGCAGCCCAAUCCCCUCCGUGCUGCAUGAGCAAAUAAGGAAGCAUUAGCCUGAGAAACAAUGGGUGGCUGUGAUUGGUUGAGAGUGUCAGCUGACCACUUUCAGCCUAUCACAGCACCCUUUGCUGGU